GACGGACGCUGGCGGCGUGCUUAACACAUGCAAGUCGAACGGUAAGGCCCUUCGGGGUACACGAGUGGCGAACGGGUGAGUAACACGUGGGUGAUCUGCCCUGCACUUCGGGAUAAGCCUGGGAAACUGGGUCUAAUACCGGAUGGGACUCCUGGCUUCAUGGUUGGGGGGGGAAAGCUUUUGCGGUGUGGGAUGGGCCCGCGGCCUAUCAGCUUGUUGGUGGGGUAAUGGCCUACCAAGGCGACGACGGGUAGCCGGCCUGAGAGGGUGACCGGUCACACUGGGACUGAGAUACGGCCCAGACUCCUACGGGAGGCAGCAGUGGGGAAUAUUGCACAAUGGGCGCAAGCCUGAUGCAGCGACGCCGCGUGAGGGAUGACGGCCUUCGGGUUGUAAACCUCUUUCAGCUAUGACGAAGCGCAAGUGACGGUAGUAGCAGAAGAAGGACCGGCCAACUACGUGCCAGCCGCCGCGGUAA
rnacentral:rRNA from 1 species